rnacentral:rRNA from 1 species
GACUUGACGGUACUUCGCACCCACCUAGAGGAGCCUGUCCUAUAAUCGACAGUACUCGAUAUACCUUACCAACUUUUGCCUUAAACGUCUAACAGCCUGUAUACCGCCGUCGCAAACUAGCCCCCUGAGGGACAAACAAUUUAGUACAAUAGCUUAUUUGAGCUAAUACGUCAGGUCAAGGUGCAGCCAAUGAGUUGGAAGAGAUGGGCUACAUUUUCUACCACAUAGAAAUAUGUCACGGAGAGCCCUGUGAAA